rnacentral:rRNA from 1 species
GAUGAACGCUAGCUACAGGCUUAACACAUGCAAGUCGAGGGGCAUCAUGACGAAAGCUUGCUUUUGUUGAUGGCGACCGGCGCACGGGUGAGUAACGCGUAUCCAACCUUCCCCUUACUAGGGAAUAGCCCGGCGAAAGUCGGAUUAAUGCCCUAUGUUCUCCUUUGCGGGCAUCUAACGAGGAGCAAAGAUUCAUCGGUAAGGGAUGGGGAUGCGUCUGAUUAGCCGGUUGGCGGGGUAACGGCCCACCAAGGCGACGAUCAGUAGGGGUUCUGAGAGGAAGGUCCCCCACAUUGGUACUGAGACACGGACCAAACUCC